UAAACAAAUUCAUACUGUGCAACUACGAAUGGCUCAGUCAAUCAGUUAUACUUUGUUUGAUGGUAUCUACUACUUGGAUAACCAUAGUAAUUCUAGAGCUAAUAUGUGACAAAAACCACGACAUGUGGAAGGGAUACAUUUAUUAGAUAAAAGGUCGACGCGGGAUCUGCCCAUUAUCGCGAUGAUUCAUGAUAACUCGAUGGAUCGCAAGACCGUCAUGACGGUGACGCAUCAUUCUAAUUUUUGCUGGAUCAACUUUCGAUAGUAGGAUAGUGGCCUACCAUGGUUGUGACAAGUGAUGGAGAAUUAGGGUUCGAUUCCUGAGAGGGAGCCUGAGAAAUGACUACCACAUCCAAGGAAGGCCGUAGGUGCGCAAAUUACAAAAUUUUGACACGGGGAGGUAGUGACAAUAAAUAACAGUACUGGGCUCUACUAGUUGGGUAAUUGGAAUGAGUACAAUCUAAAUCCCUUAACGAGGAUCCAUUGGAGGGCAAGUCAAGUGCUAGGAGUCGCGGUAAUUCGUGCUCCAAUAGCAUAUAUUUAAGUUGUUGUAGUUAAAAAGCUCGUAGUUGGACUUUGGGAUGGGUCGGUUGGUUUGUCCUAGGAGUGCACCGGUCGUCUCAUCCCUUCUGUAGGCGAUGCGCUCCUGGCCUUAAUUGGCUGGGUUAUGCCUCCGGCGCUUUUGCCUUGAACAAAUUAGAAGGCUCAAAGCAAGCCUACGCUCUGUAUACAUUAGCAUGGGAUAAAAUUAUAGGGUUUCGGUCCUAUUACAUUUACCUUCGGGAUCGAAUUAAUGAUUAACAGGGACCUUCGGGGGCAUUCGUUUUUCAUAGUCAGAGGUGAAAUU
rnacentral:ncRNA from 1 species